rnacentral:rRNA from 1 species
GAUGAACGCUAGCGGCAGGCUUAACACAUGCAAGUCGAGGGGUAUAGUUCUUCGGAACUAGAGACCGGCGCACGGGUGCGUAACGCGUAUGCAACCUACCUUUUACAGGGGGAUAGCCCAGAGAAAUUUGGAUUAAUACCCCAUAGUAUGUUAGAGUAGCAUCAUUUUAACAUUAAAGUUCCAACGGUAAAAGAUGAGCAUGCGUCCCAUUAGCUAGAUGGUAAGGUAACGGCUUACCAUGGCGACGAUGGGUAGGGGUCCUGAGAGGGAGAUCCCUCACACUGGUACUGAGACACGGACCAGACUCCUACGGGAGGCAGCAGUGAGGAAUAUUGGACAAUGGGCGCAAGCCUGAUCCAGCCAUGCCGCGUGCAGGAAGACGGUCCUAUGGAUUGUAACUGCUUUUGUACAGGAAGAAAUACUCCCUCGUGAGGGAGCUUGACGGUACUGUAAGAAUAAGGAUCGGCUAACUCCGUGCCAGCAGCCGCGGUAACAC